rnacentral:lncRNA from 1 species
CUCUGACUUUGUAUUUUUCUUUUAUUACAAUUGUUCUUUCCCCUUUGGUCUUUAAGAAACAUUCGAUCAAUAAAAUUGGAUUUCUCCUUAUGGAGGGCUUCUCCACUCCUUUUUCUUUUCUUUCUGCAAUGAGACGCGCAUUGACGCUUUUGUCUCCCGCUGGCAGUGUCCUGUCGAAGCACUUUCCUUGCCAUAGGGAGUUCCGCUGAAGUCUACAAUCCAACAUCUGAGGAAGAAAGUUCGUCAUUUAACAAAAAGGUCGAAGGAGAUGGAGGGUGAACUUCGCGGGUU